CCUACGGGAGGCAGCAGUGGGGAAUAUUGGACAAUGGGGGGAACCCUGAUCCAGCCAUGCCGCGUGUGUGAAGAAGGCCCUCGGGUUGUAAAGCACUUUCAGUGAGGAAGAACGCCUGGUGGUUAAUACCCAUCAGGAAAGACAUCACUCACAGAAGAAGCACCGGCUAACUCCGUGCCAGCAGCCGCGGUAAUACGGAGGGUGCGAGCGUUAAUCGGAAUUACUGGGCGUAAAGCGCGCGUAGGUGGCUUGAUAAGCCGGUUGUGAAAGCCCCGGGCUCAACCUGGGAACGGCAUCCGGAACUGUCAAGCUAGAGUGCAGGAGAGGAAGGUAGAAUUCCCGGUGUAGCGGUGAAAUGCGUAGAGAUCGGGAGGAAUACCAGUGGCGAAGGCGGCCUUCUGGACCGACACUGACACUGAGGUGCGAAAGCGUGGGUAGCAAACAGGAUUAGAUACCCUGGUAGUC
rnacentral:rRNA from 1 species